GGCGGAGUCUCGCGCGCCUGCAUGUGUAUCAAAGGUUGGCACACUGAUGCGCUUGCUGAAACCGCGUUAUUUUGUGUGCGAGGCUGGUCUAAGUAACGUGGCAUUCACUUUUUAUCGACUGACUUUUGUGGGAGAGUAGAUUUGUUUUUUAAGAAAAUCGCGUGUUGAUAAAAUGUGAUGGGCGGCGACGGGAGUAAAAAUAAGGAAUCAGCAUCGCUGGUGAAGAGGAGAUCCCUGUCUCUCCCGGCUCAGCUUGUUCAUCACAGUCUAUUUAGACGCAGCGCCCAGCACAGAGAAUACCCCGUCUCUGAGCAAUCUCGGCCCUCAGACUCAAACCCUGAGGGGCCUCGUGUAGAGUGGACACUGCCGGGCUUUAUUUCCAUUUUCCUGCCGGAAUUUCCUCACAGGUUUACUGGGCAUAAGCAUUUACAGAUUCUUGGUUUUGUAGCUAAAGGCUCGUUUGGUCCAAUCCUGAAGGUGAAGGACAUGUCUAAAGAUGAGACUUAUGCUAUUAAGGUGAUUUAUUCUGCGUUGUUCUGAAUUCCCUGUCAUGUUAUUGCCUUUUGGAAAAUGUGUUUUGUUUGGUACGCUCCAGAAUUUCUGCUGUCACUGUUGGUUAGGUUUUACCCAAAGCUGAGGUUUUGAGACAUGGAGUCCUCCAGCAGUCCAAAGAGGAGGUGAUCAUUCAAGUGAGUCACACUGCGCCGCUCUCAGUCUGCGCUCUGUGUCAGCUAUAGCUCGUCUGAUCUGGCUCUAACCGGGCCAGUGAGACAUGGACAACGCUGACUUCCUCUCAGUCAAUACCCUAUAAGCAUGCACACAUUUCAUGCUUCAAUUGUUUUGCUCAUGCCAUUAUGAUUUCUUCCCACUUCCUCUCAGCGCCUGCACUCACGUCCAUCUCAUGUUGUGUUGUCAACUGUUACAUUGUAGCGACAAGUCAGACAUCCUUUCCUCCUCAGUCUCCGGGACUGUUGGCAGAGCCAGAGCAAUCUCUUCAUCAGUGAGUCACACCACACACAUACCCACUGUCCCACUCCUUAUUUUCCUUGGCUUUAAAGCAGGGGGCUUCAAACUGGGGUGUCCAGAGGGCUUUUGAGAGAAUGAACAUUACAAAAGUUACAAAAUGAAUUCUGUAAGGUAUUUUUACAACGUUAAUGUAAUAUAUAAAUUAAAUGUAUUAUAUUUUUUGUGUGUGUGUGUGUGUGUGUGUGUAUAUAUAUACACACACACACACACACA
rnacentral:lncRNA from 1 species